rnacentral:rRNA from 1 species
CCUACGGGUGGCAGCAGUGGGGAAUCUUGCACAAUGGGGGAAACCCUGAUGCAGCGACACCGCGUGAGCGAUGAAGUAUUUCGGUACGUAAAGCUCUAUCAGCAGGGAAGAAAAUGACGGUACCUGACUAAGAAGCCCCGGCUAACUACGUGCCAGCAGCCGCGGUAAUACGUAGGGGGCAAGCGGUAGCCGGAUUUACUGGGUGCAAAGGGAGCGUAGACGGUUCUGCAAGCCAGAUGGGAAAGCCCGGGGCUCAACCCCGGGACUGCAUUUGGAACUGUAAGGCUAGAGUGUAGGAGAGGCAGGUGGAAUUCCAAGUGUAGCGGUGAAAUGCGUAGAUAUUAGGAGGAACACCAGUGGCGAAGGCGGCCCGCUGGACGGUGACUGACGUUGAGGCUCGAAAGCGUGGGGAGCAAACAGGAUUAGAUACCCGGGUAGUC